GCGGGACACGUGGUAUCCUGUCUGAAUAUGGGGGGACCAUCCUCCAAGGCUAAAUACUCCUGACUGACCGAUAGUGAACCAGUACCGUGAGGGAAAGGCGAAAAGAACCCCGGCGAGGGGAGUGAAAAAGAACCUGAAACCGUGUACGUACAAGCAGUGGGAGCCUCUUAAUGGGGUGACUGCGUACCUUUUGUAUAAUGGGUCAGCGACUUAUAUUCUGUAGCAAGGUUAACCGAAUAGGGGAGCCGAAGGGAAACCGAGUCUUAACUGGGCGUUAAGUUGCAGGGUAUAGACCCGAAACCCGGUGAUCUAGCCAUGGGCAGGUUGAAGGUUGGGUAACACUAACUGGAGGACCGAACCGACUAAUGUUGAAAAAUUAGCGGAUGACUUGUGGCUGGGGGUGAAAGGCCAAUCAAACCGGGAGAUAGCUGGUUCUCCCCGAAAGCUAUUUAGGUAGCGCCUCGUGAAUUCAUCUCCGGGGGUAGAGCACUGUUUCGGCAAGGGGGUCAUCCCGACUUACCAACCCGAUGCAAACUGCGAAUACCGGAGAAUGUUAUCACGGGAGACACACGGCGGGUGCUAACGUCCGUCGUGAAGAGGGAAACAACCCAGACCGCCAGCUAAGGUCCCAAAGUCAUGGUUAAGUGGGAAACGAUGUGGGAAGGCCCAGACAGCCAGGAUGUUGGCUUAGAAGCAGCCAUCAUUUAAAGAAAGCGUAAUAGCUCACUGGUCGAGUCGGCCUGCGCGGAAGAUGUAACGGGGCUAAACCAUGCACCGAAGCUGCGGCAGCGACACUAUGUGUUGUUGGGUAGGGGAGCGUUCUGUAAGCC
rnacentral:rRNA from 1 species